rfam:Camelus ferus unplaced genomic scaffold scaffold591, whole genome shotgun sequence.
GAGGGUAUAGCUCAAGUGGUAGAGUGCAUGCUUAGCAUGCAUGAGGUCCUGGGUUCGCAUCCCCAGUACUUCCU